UCCCACUCCUGCUGCUUCUGACUCAAUACUUAGGGGUCCCUGGGUGCCCGGGCCUUGGCAGGAGGAUGUGGCAGAUGCUGAAGAGUGUGCUGGUCGCUGUGGGCCCUUAAUGGACUGCUGGGCGUUCCACUACAAUGUGAGCAGCCAUGGUUGCCAACUGCUGCCAUGGACUCAACACUCGCCCCACUCAAGGCUGUGGCAUUCUGGGCGCUGUGACCUCUUCCAGGAGAAAGACUACAUACGGACCUGCAUCAUGAACAAUGGGGUUGGGUACCGGGGCACCAUGGCCACGACCGUGGGUGGCCUGUCCUGCCAGGCUUGGAGCCACAAGUUCCCGAACGAUCACAAGUACAUGCCCACGCUCCGGAAUGGCCUGGAAGAGAACUUCUGCCGUAACCC
rnacentral:lncRNA from 1 species